UGAGGGCCAUAAAAACGCCGGCUUUCCGACGGAGGAGCAGCACUCGGCUCUGCAACCAUGAGCCCAAGCGUCUCCUCCCUCCUGCUCCUGGCCGCCCUGCCAGGGCUGAUGGCGGCCGUGACGUUGGACGAAUCCGGGGGCGGCGUCCAGACGCCCGGAGGAAGCCUCACCCUCGUCUGCAAGGCCUCCGGAUUCACCUUCAGCAGUUACAGCAUGGAGUGGGUGCGCCAGGCGCCCGGCAAGGGGUUGGAGUGGGUCGCAGGUAUUAGCAACACUGGUAGUUACCCAGGCUACGCGUCGGCGGUGAAGGGCCGUGCCACCAUCUCGAGGGACAACGGGCAGAGCACAGUGAAGCUGCAGCUGAACAGCCUCAAGGCUGAGGACAGCGCCACCUACUACUGCGCGAAAGCUGCUGGUCACGGUGACUCCGAUCCCCGGCGCCGGUGGCGCAAAACCCAACCUUUCAAGUUGAGGCGGUGAAACGCGACCGAGCGU